rnacentral:rRNA from 1 species
CCUACGGGAGGCAGCAGUGAGGAAUAUUGGUCAAUGGACGGAAGUCUGAACCAGCCAUUCCGCGUGCAGGAAGACGGCUCUAUGAGUUGUAAACUGCUUUUGUACAAGGGUAAACCUGAAUACGUGUAUUCUGCUGAAAGUACUGUACGCAUAAGGAUCGGCUAACUCCGUGCCAGCAGCCGCGGUAAUACGGAGGAUCCAAGCGUUAUACGGAUUUGUUGGGUUUAAAGGGUGCGGAGGCGGAUUGAUAAGUUAGAGGUGAAAUGUCCGAGCUUAACUCGGGAACUGCCUCUAAUACUGUUGAUCUAGAGAGUAGAUGCGGUAGGCGGAAUGUAUGGUGUAGCGGUGAAAUGCUUAGAGAUCAUACAGAACACCGAUUGCGAAGGCAGCGUACCAAUCUAUAUCUGACGUUGAGGCACGAAAGCGUGGGGAGCAAACAGGAUUAGAUACCCGAGUAGUC